rnacentral:rRNA from 1 species
UAGGAUAUCUCAAUUCAACAUCGAGGUGAUAAACUUUAUUUUGAAUUUGGUCUUCUGAAUAAAAUUAUUCUGUUAUCCCUAAAGUAGCUUUUAUUUAUUAUUCAUUAGCUCCUAUUCUUUUAACUAAUGGGUCGUAUUUAACCUACUUUGUAACUGUUAAAUUAAUAAAUUAUACAGUAUAACUUUUUUAAAUUCUUUUGUUAUAUUUUUGUUUUAUUUUAAAAAUCAUCGCCCCAAUGAAACUACCUUUUAUUAAGAUUUUCUUAAUAAUAAUAGUUAAGCUUUAUAGGGUCUUCUCGUCUUACAAUUUUAAACAGCAUCUUAACUGUUAUUUUAAUUUUUUUUAGUUCAUACUAUGAGACAGUGAGAUUUUCGUUUAGCCAUUCAUACUGUUCACUAAUUAAGUGACGAUUGAUUGUGCUACAUUUUUACAGUUAUGGUUACUGCAGCCAUUUAAUUUUUUUUGUUUAGAUCUUUUUAUAUCUUGUUUUUUUUUAAUCACCGGGC